rnacentral:rRNA from 1 species
CAGUAGCCGCGGUAAUACGAAGGGGGCUAGCGUUGUUCGGAUUAACUGGGCGUAAAGGGCGCGUAGGCGGGUUUUUAAGUCAGAGGUGAAAUCCCAAGGCUCAACCUUGGAACUGCCUUUGAUACUGGAAGUCUUGAGUCCGGGAGAGGUGAGUGGAACUGCGAGUGUAGAGGUGAAAUUCGUAGAUAUUCGCAAGAACACCAGUGGCGAAGGCGGCCAUCUGGGACAACACUGUCGCUGAAGCACGAAAGCGUGGGGAGCAAACAGGAUUAGAUACCCCAGUAGUCCCUGUCUCUUAUAC